rnacentral:rRNA from 1 species
UACGCCCGAUCUCGUCCGAUCUCAGAAGCUAAGCAGAGUUGGGCUUGGUUAGUAGUUGGAUGGAAGACUGCUUGGGAAUACCAGGUGCCGUAAGCCU